CGCCAGACUCCUACGGGAGGCAGCAGUGGGGGAUAUUGCACAAUGGGGGGAACCCUGAUGCAGCGACGCCGCGUGGGUGAAGGAGCGUUUCGGCGCGUAAAGCCCUAUCGGCAGGGAAGAAGGAGGACGGUACCUGACUAAGAAGCCCCGGCUAACUACGUGCCAGCAGCCGCGGUAAUACGUAGGGGGCAAGCGUUAUCCGGAUUUACUGGGUGUAAAGGGGGCGCAGACGGCGAUGCAAGCCAGGAGUGAAAGCCCGGGGCUCAACCCCGGGACUGCAUUUGAAACUGUCAGGCUGGAGUGCAGGAGAGGUAAGUGGAAUUCCUAGUGUAGCGGUGAAAUGCGUAGAUAUUAGGAGGAACACCAGUGGCGAAGGCGGCUUACUGGACUGUAACUGACGUUGAGGCUCGAAAGCGUGGGGAGCAAACAGGAUUAGAUACCCUUGUA
rnacentral:rRNA from 1 species